GCCCCCUCUAGCCCACGCAAGCCAAACAACCGACCAAACAAAAAUUUACUUCACUACAAAACCAAAACAUUCCUCUCCAACCAAGUAUAGGUGAUAGAAAAGUUACCUGGCGCUAUAGAGACACGUACCGCAAGGGAAAGAUGAAAUAACAAUGAAAACCAAAGCAACGAACAGCAAAGCCAAACCCUUGUACCUUUUGCAUCAUGAUCUAGCAAGACACACCAAGCAAAGCGGACUGAAGUUUGCCCCCCCGAAACCCAAGCGAGCUACUCACAAGCAGCUACCCCUGAGCACACCCGUCUCUGUUGCAAAAGAGUGGGACGACUUGUUAGUAGAGGUGAAAAGCCAACCGAGCUGGGUGAUAGCUGGUUGCCUGUGAAAUGAAUCUCAGUUCCCCCUUGACUGCCCCACGGACAUUCCCCCUUCCAACCUCCCACGUAAGCAAGUCAAGAGCUACCUAAAGGGGGUACAGCCCCUUUAAACAAGGACACAACCUAACCCAGCGGAUAACACACCCAACUUAUAACUGUAGGCCCUCAAGCAGCCACCAACAAAGAAUGCGUCAAAGCUCUCCCCAAAAAAUAUAAAAACACAAACGAUUCCCUCUUCGCUAACAGGCCAAUCUACACCAGUAGAAGAACUAAUGCUAGAAUGAGUAACUAGGACCCAAUCCUCUCAAGCGCAAACUUACAUCUAACUAUUAUUAACAGACCCCAGAAUACCCUAACCCAACAAGAUACAGCCAUUCAUCCCAGACUGUUAACCCAACCCAGGAGCGCCCAUAGAAAGAUUCAAACCUGUAGAAGGAACUAGGCAAACCAAAGACCCGACUGUUUACCAAAAACAUAGCCUUCAGCAACCCAAGUAUUGAAGGUGAUGCCUGCCCAGUGACAACACGUUCAACGGCCGCGGUAUCCUAACCGUGCAAAGGUAGCGCAAUCAAUUGUCUCAUAAAUCGAGACUUGUAUGAACGGCUAAACGAGGCCUUAACUGUCUCCUACAGGCAAUCAGUGAAAUUGAUCUCCCUGUACAAAAGCAGGAAUACGCACAUAAGACGAGAAGACCCUGUGGAACUUAAAAAUCAAAAGCCACCCCGCACGAACACCAAUCCUUCAAGGACCAAUCUCCAACAACAAAAGCUAUGGCCUACAUUUUUCGGUUGGGGCGACCUUGGAGAAAAACAAAUCCUCCAAAGAUAAGACCAUCCCUCCUAACCAAGAGACACAUCUCAACGUACUAACAGCAACCUGACCCAGUAUAACUGAUCAAUGGACCAAGCUACCCCAGGGAUAACAGCGCAAUCUCCUUCAAGAGCCCAUAUCGACAAGGAGGUUUACGACCUCGAUGUUGGAUCAGGACAUCCUAAUGGUGCAACCGCUAUUAAGGGUUCGUUUGUUCAACGAUUAACAGUCCUACGUGAUCUGAGUUCAGACCGGAGCAAUCCAGGUCGGUUUCUAUCUAUGACACAAUCUUUCCCAGUACGAAAGGACCGGCAAGAUGGAGCCAAUACUCACAGCAUGCUCCCCCUCUAAGUAAAGAACUCAACUAAAUUACCAAAAGGACUCCCCCUGUCUAUUUUUUCCCCCCC
rnacentral:rRNA from 1 species